AUCCAGCUGACAAGUCCAAAAAUAGGACGGAACGUAUGUCCUGGAU
rfam:Schistosoma curassoni strain Dakar, Senegal genome assembly, scaffold: SCTD_contig0031696